GUGAUGCCCAGUCAACAGAAUGGAGAAAAGAGAAAUUUGGUUUGAAAUGAAAUUUGAGUCUUGAGAGAGGGCGGAUAUGAAGGAGACUCAAACAAGCCACGUGGGAGCAUCUGAAGGCCUGGAGAUGAGGGCCUGUUGCAUGGCUGUGAAAAUUUGGCCUUUAAAAUAACUAGGCAUGGGCCAGAAAUCCCAGCCGGCAGCUGCGACCACCAACUCCCCAACACUGAGAUCUGACGUGCCCCCAGAUUCCCUGGGCUCAGAAAACAGGACACGCCGAGGACAUAGAAGCCUGGCACCAGGUGCAGAGCUUCCGCCACCAAGGAUGUUCCAGCAGACACCACACAGCCGCGUGGCCUGGACUCGAAGCCAUCGAAGUUUUCAAUCUCUAAGUCCUUAUUUCUUGCCAGCCCAACUAUUAAUAAAUCAAAAGC